rnacentral:rRNA from 1 species
CGAGUGGCGGACGGGCGAGUAAUGUCUGGGAAACUGCCCGAUGGAGGGGGAUAACUACUGGAAACGGUAGCUAAUACCGCAUAACGUCGCAAGACCAAAGAGGGGACCUUCGGGCCUCUUGCCAUCGGAUGUGCCCAGAUGGGAUUAGCUAGUAGGUGGGGUAACGGCUCACCUAGGCGACGAUCCCUAGCUGGUCUGAGAGGAUGACUAGCCACACUGGAACUGAGACACGGUCCAG